AUGGAUGGAAGAGGUCAUGUGCUUGCUUUCUGCCUCCCCCAUUAUCCAUGGCGGCAUGGCAUCUCUGCUGCUGGCAGCUGCCACGCCGGCGGCAGCGGCUAUGCCUACUCCACGGAAACGAGACGAGGUGCCCGGUGCCCCAAGGGAAGCCCGGACUGCUGCGUCGUCGGCAAGCGCUACCCGCGGUUCAUGUGGCUCACAGCCGGUAUCGGACAUGCGCCGGCGAUCCCGACGCUGCAUAUGUGCUUCCGCCGGAACAUGGAGCUGGUCGUCGAGCUGUACUCCGGGUCUGGGUGGCUGUGCCUCGACGACGGCGGUGGUGGCGCACGCUGCCGCCGCUGCAACGGGAGGAUCCGCGUCGUCGUCACCGCCGCCGCCGUGAAUGGACGGUCUGUCGUUGUCAGGGUGGUGGACGAGUGUGACUACGUGAACGGGUGCUGCAACGAGGACGGCUUCGCGCCCCCGUGCCAGGACAACGUUGGCGGCGAGUCGCUGACUGUGUGGAAGAAGCUUGGCUCAACGAGAACAGGGGCAAAUAGGUCUUUUUACAGCUCUAACAGAUGUCUAACUAACGGCUUAUGGACGGCGAUGGCACUUAGUAGACGUUCGGGAAAACACGAUGGCAUAUUAUUCAACUUGACAAAGUCAGUGGUAAAUUGUAGAAGUGGGGAAAACUCAGUGCCACUGAGUGGAUUCUCUCAUAUAAUAAUUGCCCUGCUCGGCAUAUAGUUGCCUCCUA
rnacentral:lncRNA from 1 species